ensembl:lncRNA
GCCCCAGUCCUCUGAACGGCAGAGAAGGAAAUGCUGGGUGGAGGGUUCCCACUCACGCAUGCCCUUCCGCGCCUCUCGCCCACUGGGGCUGGGCUUGGAUUUUGCAACCAUUUCCAUCACCGCUGCUGUACUUGGCGCAGCCCUGCUGGAAACCGGCAGGGAGCCCGCGGAAGAAAACCGCAACGCCAACCAGGCCUUCACGUCGAAGCGCCGCAGCAAAUGGCCUCACCUGGUUUGGCUGCGUCUUGCCGAGGAACAAGGAGGAGGUGGAAGGCCCUCUUUCUUUCAUCGACUGACCUGGGCGCACACUCUGGAAACCAAAGGGUCCCAAGGACAAUUACUGUCAGACAUUCCCCCACUCAAAUCCAGGAAACUUAGUUUACACUACUUCAGGAGAAAUGCCUGUAUCAUCUACAAAGGAUGUGUUGUCUUUCCAUGCGCAUAACAAACCAGUUGAAGCAAAACAAAGGAUCUCAAACUUACGUAUCUUCAGUCUUGAAAGGUCCCUCUGUGUUAAUGGAUGUAAUUAAAGGCCUUCUAGGUUUGCUGAUAGAUACUAGAACCGAUCAUCUCACAUGUCCGCCAUCGGAGAGUCCCAAGCUCCAGUCUCCACGUGAAUUUCCGGACUCUUCCAUAGCCCUUCCGGUAGAAUCCAGGUGGCCCCAUAGUUCUGCCUUUAGCAGGAGAGCUAUUUCCUAGGAGUAACUGGGUGGGCUGCAAUCCGCCUGCCUCUUCACGUUGAGAAACGCUUCUCUUGUGGGAACGUCUGUUUCUAUUCAUCCGAUUUUCUAAUGUCUUUGAUCAGCCUAAAUAUUUUCUUGGCAAACGGAAAUUGACCAUGCCAUGAAUAUGAUAACAACCUGCUUGGAAAGAAGCUAUUUUGUUUCGAAGCAGCAAGGGGGAGUGGGGGGCCGGGAAGCCAGGGAAGGGAGUAGGGGUCGGGUAACUAGCUGGCUGGUAAGAAUGCCUGAAAUAGAUUCCUGAACAUACAUCUUUUUGCAGUCUCUGAAGCAGCUUUUUGAAAGAUAGUCAGAUAAACACACACCUGGGCUCCUAAAAGUCUUUGAUACACUUUAUAUUUAAAAAAACAGAACUUCAAUGGACGCCUCUGGAGAAUUUCCCUUUAAAACAUAGAUGAAAGGCAAGGUUAAUACAAUGUUCUCUUAAUCCCUUUGGCUUGUGAGUCAAAAUAAAUAUUUUCUUCUGCAUGUUAUUGUACAUCCUGCCAUUUGGCUGUGGCUAUAAGCAAAUCGACCGGUAAUAAAAGUGUUUUGAGGCUGUGUAUUAAAUGCAGUUCUCUUGAAAUCAAGGGUUGGGGGGAGGGAGGGGCCUUACUUCACAGGCAAGAGUUGGUGGGUUUCUGAAAAAGCUGCAAGAAAAAGACCUUUCACCUCUCAUUAGUGAUGCCAUCAGUGCUCAGGCAGAGUGGAGCUGAGGUCAUGUUACAUAUGGCACACAGUCUGCUCAGCACUUGAAACGUCAGCUUUGAAAUUUUAGAGAGGGGAAAGGUCAUCUUUAAUAAGCUAAAGUCUGGGGCUCCCAUUGCCCUCUUUGCAAACUGGGUGGGUGUCCAUAUGCUUCAAACCUUCUGCACAAGUUUUCUUUUUUUUAAUUUGCAGUUUUAAGCUGAUUUUUUGUUUCACAUCUUCAUUUAAGCUGUAAUGUUUUCAGCUGUUAAUACACCAAAAGGCCUUUCAUUUUUAUAGCAACUCUGUCAUCUUUCCUUUUCUUCUUAUGCAAUCAUAAAACUGUCUGUUCUGAGUGAUAGCUUUUUAGAACUCAGCUUCCCAGAAGAAAUGAAGUGUAUCUGUCCAUCUGCAUACAUGGAUCCAGACAUGUGGGCUAUAGGGUUACCCUUCUGAGUGGGUAAUUUAGACUUCACUUUUGUACACUACAUAAUUUACUGAACCUUCAAAACAUUAAAACUUCCAUAUUGUGUAAAAGCUCUAGUUUCUGAAAACUUCCUGGUACUACUAAAAUUUUUCAUGCCAUUUACUGAAAUUUCACAUUUUAUUUUUACCAUGUGGGGGAAACUCUCAAAUCAGAAGAUAUUGAUUCUUCUGUAAGGUUUAAAGUUAAGGUUGACAGAAGCUACAGUGGUAGAUAU